CUCUCCCGUAAAUCUCUCUCAGUCCGUUUGUCUUUCUCCUUCUCGCCUGUUCAUCUCUCUCAACCGAGCCUGGACCGAGCCGGAGACAGCGGCAGCGCCACGGCGACGACGGAGGCGAGGAGGUGACAACCGACGAGGACAAUUUUGUGCUCAAACCAAACAGCCUCCAGAGUGACCUAGGCCGAUUGGGAAUUUGGCAUGACAAGCUUCAAUGCAAGGGAUGGACCCGCAUGUCACAAUAAGAGAGAACUCAACGAAGCUUCGACCUCAAGAUUCGUGCACGCUGAAGUCCGACUCGUCGAUGGAAGGGUCCGUUCGGUUGCAACAAUCCGUGCAGUGAUUGAAAUGUUUUCAUCAUUCCUAUCACUCCCACUGAGAAAGGUAUUACUGAACGAGCCCGUAUUGGUUUUCCGUGCGCCGGUCGAGUAGCCACCAUGGUGACUGGCGAGCCCACCUGAAAUUUUUUACAAGCCCUUGAGUUGAUAUGGGCGUGAAAUCUUCUAGUCAUCGAAUCUUCGUUAUGUCUCAACUUUUGGACCGUUUUAUGUGAUCUUGUUCCUAACAACAUGCUAUCUUAUCUAUCACCCUUUCCUCUCGAUGCAUCUCCAAUGACAUUUCUAUUGUCCAUUUUUUCCCUCGGUUCUCUAUAUUAUAAAAUAAAGUUGUCUGA